rnacentral:tRNA from 1 species
GGUAAAAUGGCUGAUAAAGGUGAUAAAUUGUAAAUUUAUUUAUGGAAUUAAAAUUCCUUUUACCA